AACGAACGCUGGCGGUGUGCUUAACACAUGCAAGUCGAACGAGAAAGUUUCCUUCGGGAAACAAGUAAAGUGGCGCAAGGGUGAGUAACACGUGAAUAAUCUGCCCUCAAGACUGGGAUAACCUGGUGAAAACUAGGCUAAUACCGGAUAAGACCACGUCCCGCAAGGGAUGCGGGAAAAGAGGCUCAACCUCCACUUGUGGAUGAGUUCGCGGACCAUUAGCUUGUUGGUGAGAUAACAGCUCACCAAGGCUACGAUGGAUAGCCGGCCUGAGAGGGUGAACGGCCACACUGGAACUGAGACACGGUCCAGACUCCUACGGGAGGCAGCGGUGGGGAAUCUUGCACAAUGGGGGAAACCCUGAUGCAGCGAUGCCGCGUGAGUGAAG
rnacentral:rRNA from 1 species